AACUUUUAAAGGAUAACAGUCAAUCCA
rnacentral:tRNA from 1 species